AACGAACGCUGGCGGCAGGCUUAACACAUGCAAGUCGAACGCCCCGCAAGGAGAGUGGCAGACGGGUGAGUAACGCGUGGGAACAUACCCUUUUCUACGGAAUAGCUCUGGGAAACUGGAAUUAAUACCGUAUACGCCCUACGGGGGAAAGAUUUAUCGGGGAAGGAUUGGCCCGCGUUGGAUUAGCUAGUUGGUGGGGUAAAGGCCUACCAAGGCGACGAUCCAUAGCUGGUCUGAGAGGAUGAUCAGCCACAUUGGGACUGAGACACGGCCCAAACUCCUACGGGAGGCAGCAGUGGGGAAUAUUGGACAAUGGGCGCAAGCCUGAUCCAGCCAUGCCGCGUGAGUGAUGAAGGCCUUAGGGUUGUAAAGCUCUUUCACCGAUGAAGAUAAUGACGGUAGUCGGAGAAGAAGCCCCGGCUAACUUCGUG
rnacentral:rRNA from 1 species